rnacentral:rRNA from 1 species
AUGCAAGUGUUGAUGAAGCCAUUGAAGCCAAGGCAGGCCCCACGAACCAAAUUCCUCGUCAAGGAAUUACUCUAUGUGCCUCGGACUGUCUAUCGAAUUCUGACGAAGACAAUGAGUCCUAUCAAAGGCCACGACUCAAAUUAUGAAGAAGUCGUUGGCAUCAUGAAGAAUAUGCUUUUCAACCUCAUUCAUGGCGUUCCCGUCAACUUCCACGAUUUCUUCAUGAGGACUCUGGCCAAUAUUGCUAUGUCACCAUUCGAGCUGAAGCCCUAUGCUCCUUGGAUCAUGAGAUUCAUCAGGGCAAGAUCUUCACUGAAUUACAAAGCUGACACUCUGAACCACGGUAGCUACUUGCCUCCCAUUGAAGUCCUCAAAUAG